GGAGGGGCUGUCCUGGGCAGGCGAAUUCAUUAGUUGGUGUUUGCAGAGAGGCAGGAAUCCAAAGAAAGCAUUAGUUACAGAAGUCCCCACAGAAAGGAACAAUGCACCUUGAAAAUGGGAUCCUCACCCCCUCUCUCGGCUUCACUCAAUGUCUUCAACAAUCCAGCACCCAGCUGACUCUGCACGGGUGACCCCGGACCAGGGAGCUAGCCUGGCACGUCCUGCAGGGAGCCACCAUUACCGUCAGCAGGAAUUCCGUUACCACCUUGGAGGGGAGGAGUGGAGGCUGGUCCCAUUGCCCUUGGCGACCAUGACAGAAACACUUGACUCCAACAGGAGGCCUGCGAUUUGUGGGGAAGUUUUUCUGGAGCAGGAAGGCCUGGGAGCAGAGAGGCUGCCCGGCCCGCGGCCACAAGCCGCAACAUCAUGGAAGGCUGUGUCCGAUGUUGAGCUUCUGGCCACAGGUGGCUGUGUACAUUUAAAUUAAUUAAAAUAAAAUAAAAUUAAA